rnacentral:lncRNA from 1 species
AGCGAUUCCGCGAGGACAGCGCCCUGCCUGAAUCACUCCCUUUAAGAAAGGCCGAAGUGCAGUUGUUUCGUUUAAUGACCUGCGUAAUUACAGGCUUUGGAUCUUGCGUGUGUGCCAGGAAGAAGGGUGAACAAUACACAAACCCUUGGAGGGAAGUUUUCCUUCGGAGAGCGGCGCAGACAACGUAAGCCGCGCUGUUGCUGCUGUGUGGCCCCAAAGCCUCUGCUUGGAACAUUACGGCCUGGCUGUGCUGGGGUGGGGGCCUGGUGAGGGCCGGAGAGGUGGCCUGAAUGCCAGGGCCCAGGAGAUUGGCUGGCGAGGAAGUCUCCGAGAGCUGCCGCUGGCUGAGCAGAUGUGCAACGCUGCGAAGGCCUUCUUCAGCUGUGAGCCUGACACGGGGCUGCCCUGGUUCCUAUUGCCAAGAGCCCGUGCUUUGCCACCAACUCCUUCCCACUCCCCAAGGGAAGCAGGUGGGAAGCACCCUCCUUUCUCCUUUGUAAACGUGGGUUGGCAAACCUUUUCUGGAAAGGACCAGAUGGCAAAUACUUUUGGUGUCACAGGCCACACUGUCUCUGUUGCAGCUCCUCAAAGUGAGAAGCAGCCCCAGACAAUAUGUAAAGGAACAAGUAUGACUGUUU